GAUGAAGAACGCAGCGAAAUGCGAUAAGUAGUGUGAAUUGCAGAAUUCCGUGAAUCAUCGAAUCUUUGAACGCACAUUGCGCCUUCUGGUAUUCCGGAAGGCAUGCCUGUUCGAGAGUCAUUAACAACCGUUUCGAUCCCUUUCUUUCAGAAAUUACAAAGAGGAAAAGGGUUUGGUUAUGGUGGAGGAGGGAAAGGGAGCGUUUAGCCUGUAAAAAAAGAGGCUGUGUUCCGCCUCCCACCCAAAAUUGUACAGGCGGUCGUGUGCGCCCACGCAUCGAGGUGUUGUAAAAGCUGCCACGGCACUUUUCACCUGUGCAGUGCGAGAUUGGCCAGCCGGUUUAAAAACCCCUCCAAACAAUCAAAGGUUGACCUCGGAUCAGGUAGGGAUACCCGCUGAACUUAAGCAUAUCAAUAAGCGGAGGA
rnacentral:misc_RNA from 1 species